rnacentral:lncRNA from 1 species
AAAAAAAAAAAAUUAAAUUAAAUUAAAUGCAUUUAUGUCUAUAUAAAUAUAGUAAAUUACAAAUAUGUUCUUACAAAAUUCAAUUUUUAUAUAUUGUCUUUGUAAAAAUUCUAAUAUUUUUAAAAAUGUCCCUAUAGUUUAUUACCGUUAUAGAUCUGUUUAAAUUUUAAGUAAAAUAUUAAUUUUGCCAUCAUAAAUAUAUCCCUAAAAAAGUCAUAACAGUGUAAUAUAAGAUGGGCAAAAUAUAAGUUAUCUUGUAAAUUAACCAGGUUAAAUAUUUAACCUAUGGUUAAUUAAAAUUUUUUAACGGAUUCUAACGGCAGGGACGUAUUUGAAAAUAUUAAAAUUUUUAUAAGGACAACAUAUGAAAAUUAAACUUUGUAGUAAUAUAUUUACAAUUCACUAUAUUUGUAGGGACCUGUAUGAAAUUAACCUAAAAAAUAAGAGGAGACUCCCUC